AUGUGGCCAGGGCAGCAUUUGGAUUUUGCAGGUGGAGUUUGCCGUGGGAUCUGCUGUGUUCAGAGAGGCUCAGCAUCAAACCCCUCUUGUACUGCAACCCACAACUUGCUGUGGGCUUGUGGGAGCCAAAGGUGCCCUGGGGUGAGGCAGCAUCAGCCGAGUUUUUCCACGGGCAAAGGAUGCUAUAGGAUCCUGGAGCACAGGGAAGGAGUUUUAAUGCAAAAUACCAGAAAAAAAAGUCUGCAACAUCUCCUGUGAGAGGGGGGAAAAAAGGAGAUUAACAAUUGCUUCUUGAAACACUCAUGAUUUGAGAUCUCCCUGAUAAAUAAUUUCUUUGAAUUUGGAAGUCCUUGCCUUGUAACAGGUAAGCGAGAGGUAGAAAAAAAAUA
rnacentral:lncRNA from 1 species